rnacentral:rRNA from 1 species
UACGAGAGGCCCAAACGUUAUUCGGAUUUACUGGGCUUAAAGAGUUCGUAGGCGGCGCAGAAAGUAGGGUGUGAAAGCCCUCGGCUCAACCGAGGAAUUGCGCUCUAAACUACUGUGCUUGAGGAAGCUAGAGGUGAGCGGAACUGAUGGUGGAGCGGUGAAAUGCGUUGAUAUCAUCAGGAACACCGGAGGCGAAGGCGGCUCACUGGGGCUUUUCUGACGCUGAGGAACGAAAGCCAGGGGAGCGAACGGG